UACGGAGGGUGCAAGCGUUAUCCGGAUUCACUGGGUUUAAAGGGUGCGUAGGCGGGUAUAUAAGUCAGUGGAUGAAAGCUCCGGGCUUAACUUGGAAACUGCCAUUGAUACUGUAUAUCUUGAAUGUCGUUGAGGUUAGCGGAAUGUCGCAUGUAGCGGUGAAAUGCUUAGAUAUGUUACAGAACACCAAUUGUGAAGACAGCUAACUAAGCGAUGAUUGACGCUGAGGCACGAAAGCGUGGGGAGCAAACAGG
rnacentral:rRNA from 1 species